UGAACGCUGGCGGCGUGCCUAAUACAUGCAAGUCGAGCGAACAGACGAGGAGCUUGCUCCUCUGACGUUAGCGGCGGACGGGUGAGUAACACGUGGAUGACCUACCUAUAAGACUGGGAUAACUUCGGGAAACCGGAGCUAAUACCGGAUAAUAUAUUGAACCGCAUGGUUCAAUAGUGAAAGACGGUUUUGCUGUCACUUAUAGAUGGAUCCGCGCCGCAUUAGCUAGUUGGUAAGGUAACGGCUUACCAAGGCAACGAUGCGUAGCCGACCUGAGAGGGUGAUCGGCCACACUGGAACUGAGACACGGUCCAGACUCCUACGGGAGGCAGCAGUAGGGAAUCUUCCGCAAAGGGCGAAAGCUUGACGGAGCAACGCCGCGUGAGUGAUGAAGGUCUUCGGAUCGUAAAACUCUGUUAUUAGGGAAGAACAAAUGUGUAAGUAACUAUGCACGUCUUGACGGUACCUAAUCAGAAAGCCACGGCUAACUACGUG
rnacentral:rRNA from 1 species